rnacentral:lncRNA from 1 species
CUUGACUUAGCCUGCAUCGGCAUCAUUUGUAGGGCUGUGACAACACAGACUACUGAUUCUAUUGAAUCAGAACCUUCCAGGGAUUCUGAUUCAAUAGACCUGGAGUGGGGUUUGAGAAUUUACAUUUCUAACAAGUUCCCAGAUGAUGCCAAUACUGCUGGUCCUUUAAAAAUUACUGAUCUUAGAGCAGUGCUUCUCACUUACAGCUGUACUGAUCAGUUGAUCUGGAGUAAGGGCUAAGCUUCUGCAUUUCUAACAAGUUCUCAGAUGAUGCUACUCAACUGAAGAUUGCACUUUGUCAAGAGUUUCUCAAGACUUGCGUGGCUUACGGAGCAGCAGCAGCAGUAGCAGCGUAUGGUGAUAUCUGUAUACAUUUAAAGCUUGAGAAGUCCUUCUCUAGAGCAAUAAAAACUUUCUCUGUGAGGCCUGUAGAAUCUGAGAACAUAACCAGCUGAACAGGAGCCGGCAGCUAACCACAAACAAUCUUCUAAUACCUUUCACAGUAAUGGAAUUGCUGAUGUUUC